rnacentral:tRNA from 1 species
GGAGAGUUGGCCGAGUGGCCUAAGGCGGCGGAUUGCUAAUCCGUAGUGCGGGUCACGACCCGUACCGAGAGUUCGAAUCUCUCACUCUCCG